rnacentral:rRNA from 1 species
AACCCGUCGGAGUUAGAUAAAGAAAAAGGGAUUCCCUAGUAACGGCGAGUGAAGCGGGAAGAGCUCAAAUUUAAAAUCUGGCAGGCUACGCUUGUCCGAAUUGUAAUCUCGAGAAGUGUUUUCCGCGUUGGCCUGUGUACAAGUCCCUUGGAACAGGGCGUCAUAGAGGGUGAGAAUCCCGUCCUUGACACAGACACCCAAUGCUUUGUGAUACACUCUCAAUGAGUCGAGUUGUUUGGGAAUGCAGCUCAAAAUGGGUGGUAAAUUCCAUCUAAAGCUAAAUACUGGCGAGAGACCGAUAGCGAACAAGUACCGUGAGGGAAAGAUGAAAAGCACUUUGGAAAGAGAGUCAAACAGUACGUGAAAUUGUUGAAAGGGAAACGAUUGAAGUCAGUCGUGCCUGCCUAGAUUCAGCCUUCUGGUGUAUUUCUAGGUCGGCAGGUCAGCAUCAGUUUGGGGGGGUUAACAAGGGAGCUGGGAAUGUGGCAACCUCGGUUGUGUUAUAGCCCAGUUUCGCAUUGAUCUCGCUGGACUGAGGAACGCAGUGCGCCCGCAAGGGUUGGUCUUCGGACACAUUCGCACUUAGGAUGCUGGCAUAAUGGCUUUAAACGACCCGUCUUGAAACCACGGACCA